rnacentral:rRNA from 1 species
AGUUUGAUCCUGGCUCAGGAUGAACGUAAGCGGCAGGCUUAACACAUGCAAGUCGAGGGGUAGAGGCCUUCGGGCCUUGAGACCGGCGCACGGGUGCGUAACGCGUAUGCAAUCUGCCUUCCACAGAGGGAUAGCCCAGAGAAAUUUGGAUUAAUACCUCAUAGCAUCAUGACCCGGCAUCGGGAUAUGAUUAAAGUCACAACGGUGGAAGAUGAGCAUGCGUCCCAUUAGCUAGUUGGUAAGGUAAUGGCUUACCAAGGCUACGAUGGGUAGGGGUCCUGAGAGGGAGAUCCCCCACACUGGUACUGAGACACGGACCAGACUCCUACGGGAGGCAGCAGUGAGGAAUAUUGGUCAAUGGGCGCAAGCCUGAACCAGCCAUGCCGCGUGCAGGAUGACGGUCCUAUGGAUUGUAAACUGCUUUUGUACGGGAAGAAACCCUCCUACGUGUAGGAGCUUGACGGUACCGUAAGAAUAAGGAUCGGCUAACUCCGUGCCAGCAGCCGCGGUAAUACGGAGGAUCCAAGCGUUAUCCGGAAUCAUUGGGUUUAAAGGGUCUGUAGGCGGUCUUGUAAGUCAGUGGUGAAAGCCCAUCGCUCAACGGUGGAACGGCCAUUGAUACUGCUGGACUUGAAUUAUUGGGAAGCAACUAGAAUAUGUAGUGUAGCGGUGAAAUGCUUAGAGAUUACAUGGAAUACCAAUUGCGAAGGCAGGUUGCUACCAAUGGAUUGACGCUGAUGGACGAAAGCGUGGGUAGCGAACAGGAUUAGAUACCCUGGUAGUCCACGCCGUAAACGAUGGAUACUAGCUGUUGGGCGCAAGUUCAGUGGCUAAGCGAAAGUGAUAAGUAUCCCACCUGGGGAGUACGAA